rnacentral:rRNA from 1 species
GAUGAACGCUGGCGGCGUGCCUAAUACAUGCAAGUCGAGCGAAUGGAUUGAGAGCUUGCUCUUAUGAAGUUAGCGGCGGACGGGUGAGUAACACGUGGGUAACCUGCCCAUAAGACUGGGAUAACCCCGGGAAACCGGGGCUAAUACCGGAUAACAUUUUGAACCGCAUGGUUCGAAAUUGAAAGGCGGCUUCGGCUGUCACUUAUGGAUGGACCCGCGUCGCAUUAGCUAGUUGGUGAGGUAACGGCUCACCAAGGCAACGAUGCGUAGCCGACCUGAGGGGGUGAUCGGCCACACUGGGACUGAGACACGGCCCAGACUCCUACGGGAGGCAGCAGUAGGGAAUCUUCCGCAAUGGACGAAAGUCUGACGGAGCAACGCCGCGUGAGUGAUGAAGGCUUUCGGGUCGUAAAACUCUGUUGUUAGGGAAGAACAAGUGCUAGUUGAAUAAGCUGGCACCUUGACGGUACCUAACCAGAAAGCCACGGCUAACUACGUGCCAGCCGCCGCGGUAA